GAUGAACGCUGGCGGCGUGCCUAAUACAUGCAAGUCGAGCGAACAGACGAGGAGCUUGCUCCUCUGACGUUAGCGGCGGACGGGUGAGUAACACGUGGAUAACCUACCUAUAAGACUGGGAUAACUUCGGGAAACCGGAGCUAAUACCGGAUAAUAUAUUGAACCGCAUGGUUCAAUAGUGAAAGACGGUUUUGCUGUCACUUAUAGAUGGAUCCGCGCCGCAUUAGCUAGUUGGUAAGGUAACGGCUUACCAAGGCAACGAUGCGCAGCCGACCUGAGAGGGUGUUCGCCCACACUGGAGCUGAGCCACGGUCCAGACUCCUACGGGAGGCCGCAGUAGGGAAUCUUCCGCAAUGGGCGAAAGCCUGACGGAGCAACGCCGCGUGAGUGAUGAAGGUCUUCGGAUCGUAAAACUCUGUUAUUAGUGAAGAACAAAUGUGUAAGUAACUAUGCACGUCUUGACGGUACCUAAUCAGAAAGCCACGGCUAACUACGUG
rnacentral:rRNA from 1 species